GCAAAAAUAGCUCAAUGGUAGAGUUUAAUCUUGCCAAGAGGGUUCGAAUCCCUUUUUUUGCU
rnacentral:tRNA from 1 species